rnacentral:other from 1 species
CCACCCCUGCCGUGCUCGUGAUUGGAAGAUAUUCUUUGAUCCAACAUCUACCCACGGGGUGCCUUCCCUGGUUUUGGUGUGCAUGUUCUGUUAGUUCAGAAAAGCCUAAAAAGACUAGAGGGCACCCACUUUGAACCAUAGGUUCAAAGACCUGCCAACACGGCACUUCGGUGGGGGUCCU